GUUGGCUCAGUCUGUAGAGCAGGAGACUCUUAAUCUCAGGGUUGUGAGUUCAAUCCCCAUGUCAGGCA